AUGUGGUGAACGUCGUGGAUGGUUUGACUUUUGUUGACCACACCAGGAACCACAUCAUUGUCAUUGAUUCAGAUCGAGCAGAAGCCGGGUCGUAAAAAUGAAUGCUCUGUCUGUUGUGACCAUCGUCACUGCCUUCUGGGCGGCAGUGGCCAUAGUGGGCCCCGUGAUCGUAGCAAUGCGGUUUCCAUCAAGUCCGAACAAAGGUGUCGCUCAGACCAUGCUGGUGCUGACUGCCAUCUGCUGCUAUCUAUUCUGGCUCUGCACAUACCUCAGCCAAUACAAUCCUCUACUAGCGCCAACCCUGGACAAGAGUAUUGCAUGCAUGGUGCGGCAACAAUGGGGCGGUGUCUCAAGUCAACAUUGCCCGCUGGAGUAAUGCUGCAGAUAGGAUUUUAGUAUUCAUCAACCUGAUUGUGCCCCAACAAAACAAGAUUGAAAGUCUCUUUGUGGAGUUUAGUAUUUACUGAUAUAAUAUACUUUGAAGUACUUUUCCACUUGAGUUCAUGCAAUUUUUAAGAACAUGAUAACACAAGAAGAUAUACCGUGCCCUUAGGCAUUAGGCUGAUUGAAAUGUACAUUUUUUUAUUAUUGCUCCCUUGCACAUACUUGAAGUAUUUAGUCAUAUUUAUGGCUGUCUUCCUUACAAACCCAGUUGCUUAGCACUGACUUGCUUUGCAACAGGAAAGUCCAGCGCGAUAUGCUCCCACAGCAACAAUCAAUCAGUUUCUUCUUUUCUCGGACUUGCCAGGGAAUCAUGAAAUUAUUGGUAUCUGUACUAUCCCCACAGUACUGCAAAACAGCUAACUGUAACGGUAGCCAUUUGCACAACUACGUUUCUUUCACCGCUUCGGAGAGUUGAGUACUCUCGCUACUGUAGUCAUGUCUACCUGCUGUCCUCUGUGAA